rnacentral:rRNA from 1 species
CUCCUAGUACGAGAGGACCGGAGUGGACGCAUCACUGGUGUUCGGGUUGUCAUGCCAAUGGCACUGCCCGGUAGCUAAAUGCGGAAGAGAUAAGUGCUGAAAGCAUCUAAGCACGAAACUUGCCCCGAGAUGAGUUCUCCCUGACCCUUUAAGGGUCCUGAAGGAACGUUGAAGACGACGACGUUGAUAGGCCGGGUGUGUAAGCGCAGCGAUGCGUUGAGCUAACCGGUACUAAUGAACCGUGAGGCUUAACCUUACAACGCCGAAGCUGUU